CCUACGGGAGGCAGCAGUGGGGAAUAUUGCACAAUGGGCGAAAGCCUGAUGCAGCAACGCCGCGUGCGCGAUGAAGGCCCUAUGGUCGUAAAGCUCUGUCCUUAAGGAAGUUAAUGACGGUACGUGAGGAGGAAGCCCCGUCUAACUACGUGCCAGCAGCCGAGGUAAUCGGUAAGGGGCUAGGGUCAUCCGGAAUUACUGGGCGUAAUGGGGGCGUAGUGGGUUUCUUAAGUCAGUGGUGAAAGGCUAGGGCUAAACCGGAGUUAGCCUUUAAUACUGGAGAACUUGAGUGCAGUAGAGGAGAGUGGAAUUCCUGGUGUAGCGGUGAAAUGCGUAGAUAUUAGGAAGAACACCGAUUGCGAAGGCAGCUUUCUAAACUGUAACUGACACUGAGGCACGAAAGCGUGGGGAGCAAACAGGAUUAGAUACCCUAGUAGUC
rnacentral:rRNA from 1 species